AGCUGCGUUGUUGGAGAACGGCUAUGUUUCCUUUUCGGAAGGCAUGGAAGUUGACACGACAACGCCGUGGUGAGCAUAUGGUGGAUUGCGAGUUGCCUUGUGCUGCUGCUGCACAGUAGUUUAUUAGACGGGGACGAAUAUGCUUGUGAAGAUCUAAUUGCUGCGAUGGGAAUGUUAUAUUUUAUUUUAUUUUGCUUAUAUAUGACUACAUGUAUGGUGACUUUUUGUUCUAGUACCGGUGUAACUUGCACGGGAUGCUGAUUUUUAUGACCUUGCCAAAAAAUUCUAUCAAUAGAAAGUAUUUAACAAUCUUUUGUGCUUAA